rnacentral:lncRNA from 1 species
AAACAAUUAUGAACAACUUGGAUAUUAAAUGGUCGCAGAAUUGUUACAAUUAGUUCUUAGAGAGUAAAAUAAUGUUGCAUAGAUGGAGGAAGUGCGUUUUAUUCCUACUUGUAAGAACAAAGAGGAUACUCUAGAUUGUGCAAAUUCAGAGGUAUUAAGCUCAUGACUCAUGAGCCAUGCAAUAAAAUUAUUAGAGUGAUGAUCGAUUACCAAUAAAAGUGUAAUUAAAAGGCAUCAAAGAAUAAAAUUGGCUUUAUGUGGGAAAGAUCUACAAUGGAAGCCAGUUUUGUGCUUAGGAGAUUGAUGAAGAAUAGCAGAAUGAAACUGCAUAUAAUUUUUACUGAUUGGAAAAAUGUUUUAUGAUAG